UAGGGAAUCUUCGGCAAUGGACGAAAGUCUGACCGAGCAACGCCGCGUGAGUGAAGAAGGUUUUCGGAUCGUAAAACUCUGUUGUUAGAGAAGAACAAGGACGUUAGUAACUGAACGUCCCCUGACGGUAUCUAACCAGAAAGCCACGGCUAACUACGUGCCAGCAGCCGCGGUAAUACGUAGGUGGCAAGCGUUGUCCGGAUUUAUUGGGCGUAAAGCGAGCGCAGGCGGUUUCUUAAGUCUGAUGUGAAAGCCCCCGGCUCAACCGGGGAGGGUCAUUGGAAACUGGGAGACUUGAGUGCAGAAGAGGGGGGUGGAAUUCCAUGUGUAGCGGUGAAAUGCGUAGAUAUAUGGAGGAACACCAGUGGCGAAGGCGGCUCUCUGGUCUGUAACUGACGCUGAGGCUCGAAAGCGGGGGGAGCAAACAGG
rnacentral:rRNA from 1 species